ACGAACGCUGGCGGCGUGCCUAAUACAUGCAAGUAGAACGCUGAAGGAGGAGCUUGCUCUUCUGGAUGAGUUGCGAACGGGUGAGUAACGCGUAGGUAACCUGCCUGGUAGCGGGGGAUAACUAUUGGAAACGAUAGCUAAUACCGCAUAAGAGUAGAUGUUGCAUGACAUUUACUUAAAAGGUGCAAUUGCAUCACUACCAGAUGGACCUGCGUUGUAUUAGCUAGUUGGUGGGGUAACGGCUUACCAAGGCGACGAUACAUAGCCGACCUGAGAGGGUGAUCGGCCACACUGGGACUGAGACACGGCCCAGACUCCUACGGGAGGCAGCAGUAGGGAAUCUUCGGCAAUGGACGGAAGUCUGACCGAGCAACGCCGCGUGAGUGAAGAAGGUGUUCGGAUCGUAAAGCUCUGUUGUAAGAGAAGAACGAGUGUGAGAGUGGAAAGUUCACACUGUGACGGUAUCUUACCAGAAAGGGACGGCUAACUACGU
rnacentral:rRNA from 1 species